rnacentral:rRNA from 1 species
GGAGGAAAGCAGGGGAUCGCAAGACCUUGCGCUUUUGGAGCGGCCGAUGCCUGAUUAGCUUGUUGGUGAGGUAAAAGCUCACCAAGGCUUCGAUCAGUAGCUGGUCUGAGAGGACGACCAGCCACACUGGGACUGAGACACGGCCCAGACUCCUACGGGAGGCAGCAGUGGGGAAUUUUGGACAAUGGGGGCAACCCUGAUCCAGCCAUGCCGCGUGAGUGAAGAAGGCCUUCGGGUUGUAAAGCUCUUUCAGCCGGAACGAAACGGUCACGGUUAAUACCCGUGACUACUGACGGUACCGGAAGAAGAAGCACCGGCUAACUACGUGCCAGCAGCCGCGGUAAUACGUAGGGUGCGAGCGUUAAUCGGAAUUACUGGGCGUAAAGCGUGCGCAGGUGGUUUUGUAAGUCAGAUGUGAAAUCCCCGGGCUUAACCUGGGAACUGCGUUUGAAACUACAAAGCUAG